ensembl:lncRNA
GUUAUUUCAUUAUUAGGGAAAAAAAUCACGUGAUCUAGAGGGCGCCUCCCUGUCAAGCGCAUUAAUAAUUUUCGCACAAACACUUGUAUAUGAAUAAUAAUUUACAUUUUCCAUAUGCAUUACAAAGUGAAUAUUUUUUUUUACAUGCAAUUAUCCAAAAUAAAACCAAACAAGAUUUGUAAUGAAGAUAAAAUGUAGACAAAUAAGAAUAAUUUAAAUGCGUCAAAUCUAAAAUAUGGUGUAGAGUAAAUAUAAGCACAGGCUCAUAGGCUUGACAUUUAUCCUGCUUGAAUUCGUUCUAAGAAACGCACACAUCUUCAUAAGGACUAAACUUUCAUCUGUGAAUAUUAAAUAUUUUAAUUAGCCUAAAGUGUUUUCCUUUCAUUUUCCCCGACUGCAGUCAAAUAUAACAAAACGGUGAGGCAAAGCUGACGUCUAUUCGCGAAAAUGUGCUUUGAUGCGCUUGUUUGAAAACUUGUGAUUAAAGCGCCAUUCAGCGGACAUGUAAACUUGCAAAACAUCACUAUAUUUACUUGUAAAACCAUGUCCUACAUAGGAGUUUGUUUGACCUGUUAGCCAUCUUCCAUGUUUUAGACCUCUGGCAGAGGUGUCUUUGGGGGACAUUGGUCAGCAGCACAAGAAACGUCACAGAAGUCCUCCAGCAAAAUAGAUGAGGAGGGCCUAGAACUUGCAGUUUGCCAGCAUGGUGUUCUUCUUUGUGCCCUUAAUAUGUUCAGGGGGAGGUUUUUGCUUACCCCUGUACCUCCAGAAAAAAAAUGGCUUGUAAGCCGGUGAAAUUUUUUGCUAUGGAUGUUGCGUGCAAGUACUGGCCUUACCUCCAGAGAGGGAACGAGAGAUGCCCUGAGCUUCAGGAUCUGCUCUCAAUGAAGCCAUUUCUAUCAGUGUUUCAUGCCAAAGCCCACGACUUCAAAUGUGAGGUAAAAUGGAGUGGGGCAUACCAGGAGGGGGCUGGUUUGACUCUUGGGGAGGAGGUGGAGCAAUGCAAUGCCUUCCUCUCGAGGAUUGCUGUUACGACAAAGCACAUGUCAAAAGCAGGACGCACAGACAUGCUCACAGUCAUGGCCAUGUGCUGGAAUCAGCAAAAGUUUAACAACUUGGCUUCAACACUUGCCUGCCGAUAUCAAAAGGCCACAAUAGCUCUGCAAAGACAGUUGCAUAAUUUGGAGGCCAUGAAAACUGAAAUGGCAGUUACAGAUGAUCAACUGGAGGGCUGGAUCACUGAUGUCAAUGAGUGGGCAGAAGCAACAACAUCCCCAAAUGAUGCUGAUGUUGCUGUUGUGGCCAGACGAAUUGAGGAGCUGGUCACCAAGGAGGUCCCAACGUCUUUAUAAAGACAUUGAUGGCUGCAAAGGUCGUGUCCGGAUACGCCAAAAGAUCAGGGAGGAAAAGAAAUGUUUAAUUCUGUGGUGGAUCAAUAUAACACCAUGGUCCCUAAUGCAGAAAACCUGGACUUGGACACCAUACUUUCAGACGACACCCUUUGGCCAUGGCAGCUUCCACAUGGUGAUAUGUACACAAGUCCAUUGACGUGAAAUACGUCUCGAAGUAGCACAAUGUUUUUGUUUUUUUUUAGCAAUGUUUACCCAGAUAAUCAAAGAAAACCUUUAAAUACUAAUCUUAAAAUCAACUGAUUUAUGUAUUCCAGACUCCGUAGGUCUAAGGACAAAGAGAAAGGCAUUUGACACAGUGAUGGCAGUAAGGAGACUUGAGGAGGAGAAGAGGAUUCUCAUUGCUGAGAUGGAAAAACACUGGAAAUCUCUUUGCACCGUGCAGACACUCCAAAGGAGAUGACAUCCCAGCUUUGCAGUGGGACAUCAAGUAUGUAUUUUAAGUUAUACUUGACAUGCAUUAUAUUUACCAGUAUGUUUCUGAAAGUCUGUAAUAUUUUUUCCCCGUAUAUAAGGUGAGAUGUGGGGCCUGAGUAAUGAGGGAAUCCAAGGUCUGCAGAGCUUAAUGAUGAAGAACACACAAGCCAUCAACAAAAUACUGAAGUGCAACAUCCAAUUUCCGUACAUGUGUUUACAUCAUUGUUUAGAUAACUCUCAAAAGAUCUUUUUUUCAGUCCAGUAUCAAUGAUUUCUAGAAAAAUACAUUUUGACAUGAGUUUCUUCAUGGUCGAACUCACAUGGCCUUUAGCACAGAUAAGUCUUCUCAAUAAAAUUCUUCUAAGCCCAGUAUACAGUACCUCUAACCUGCAUCUUUGAUUGGUAUGUCUUGCUGUGUUGAUAGAUAUUUGUUGCCAUUGGUCCAGGAGCUGUAUAACCACAUCAUGGAGGUUGGAGGUCUCAUAAACCCAGCAGUUAAAGGGGAUGUGUGUCGCGCAGAAAAAACUAAUGACAAUCUGGAAGCUGUGCUAAAUUGAACAUUUACCCUUAUUGUUAUAACCAUCAAUUCAAUGAUUCAAUUAUAAAAUGAUUUCGUUUUUAAGCUUAACUAUACUUGACUUAUUUUUCUUAUUUUCUGUCACAGAUUGUCCUUAUUUGUGUUAAUUGUAAUCUGUUUUUUUUCCUCUAUGUUUAUGAACUGGGACUGAAUACUCUGUAACCCAACUAAGUGAUUACCAAUAGUUAUGACAAUCAUGUAAAGUGUAACUGGAUUCUUAUUGCUUACUAUUUUCAGGCAUUUUAUAUAUUUCAUGGUGUUAAUGUGGUCAUUUUUUCCAGAUUUUGUCUCAUUUCUACAUUUUCAUUCAUUGUUUUAUGGAAUGAUAAUAAAACAUCUUUGAUCCUUAAAUAACCUUUGUAAUCUUUCUGUGUUGUCGACACACUAGAGGUCUUUGUUUUAUCUACCAUGUCAAUAUAUGUGUCACAUGCUGAUAUUUGUUUAUAAUAAUGACAGUAACUCUACCAUGGCCUUUGUGACAGUUAGGCCUACAGUUAACAUUAUUAACUUACAUACAUCAUAAAUGGUAAAAUUUGGCAUGUAAAAUCUAUGUAUCACCCAACAUAUGUGAGCAAAGUGAAAUUAAAGCUUAUACGUUCACAGACUCUGUAGCAUCCUCUGGAAAUGACAAUGUGCCAGGAAUGAUCAACGUGGUUCUUGUACUGCAUUAAAACCAAGAGCAUGCACAUUACUGAUGUCCAGCACAUGAGGAGAAGGAUAAGGGAGUGAGGUGGACAUUUUUACAUUUUACAUUUGCUAAUUAGAUUUAUUUUGAAUAUAUUGUGAUUCUUAGUACUGCAUGAAUUUGUAAUAGUAAUAGUGAAGUGUGUACAGUAGGUAGACAACCAAAAUGGAUAAUGCCGCGGCGUUAACUGCAAGUCAGUCGCGUGUGAAAUUAAUUCACGAAACUACCGCCAGAUGUCGCAAAGGGACGGAUUGCGAACUGAAUGUAAUUGUAAAAUGAGAUAAAAGGAGGAAGUAAAACAACAAUAACAUUAUGAUAUAACAUUGUAACAUCUUUAAAAAACAUUAAAAAAUGUACAGUGAGUUAAUUUCAAAAUGUAGGAUAGUUUUAGGCUACAGUCUACUCAUCAAAAAUUAAAAGAAGACCUUUACACAAAGGAU